ACAGCAGUAGCCGCGGUAAUACGUAGGGUGCAAGCGUUAAUCGGAAUUACUGGGCGUAAAGCGUGCGCAGGCGGUUAUAUAAGUCAGAUGUGAAAUCCCCGGGCUCAACCUGGGAACUGCAUUUGAGACUGUAUGGCUAGAGUGUGUCAGAGGGGGGUAGAAUUCCACGUGUAGCAGUGAAAUGCGUAGAUAUGUGGAGGAAUACCGAUGGCGAAGGCAGCCCCCUGGGCCAAUACUGACGCUCAUGCACGAAAGCGUGGGGAGCAAACAGGAUUAGAUACCCCAGUAGUCCCUGUCUCUUAUAA
rnacentral:rRNA from 1 species